rnacentral:rRNA from 14 species
UGCAUGGCUGUCGUCAGCUCGUGUCGUGAGAUGUUGGGUUAAGUCCCGCAACGAGCGCAACCCUUAUUUUUAGUUGCCUUUAAUGGAACUCUAAAAAGACUGCUGGUUAUAAACCGGAGGAAGGCGGGGAUGACGUCAAGUCAGCAUGCCCCUUACACCCUGGGCUACACACGUGCUACAUUGGGCGAGACAAUUGAGAUGCAACUCUGCGAAGAUUAGCUAAUCUAUAAACUCGUUCUAUUUCGGAUUGUAGGCUGCAACUCGCCUGCAUGAAGGUGGAAUCGCUAGUAAUCGCUGGUCAGCUACACAGCGGUGAAUUCGUUCCCGGGCCUUGUACACACCGCCCGUCACACCAUGGAAGCUGGUUAUACCCGAAGUCGUUACUCUAACCGUUUGGAGGAGGAUGCCUAAGGUAGAAUUAGUGACUGGGGUGAAGUCGUAACAAGGUAACCGUACUGAAGGUGCGGUUGGAAAA